AGGGGCAGGGGUGGGGAGAACUGGGCACCCAGCAGGAAAGAAGUCGGGAGCCUGCUGGGACCCCUGAAAGCAGAUGAACAGAGAUUCUGGAUCGAAUGGAUUAGCAAAGCCUUGAGGGGCUGGAGAAGUGUGAUUGGGUUUGAGGCAACUGAGGGGGACAGGAGGACUUGAGGGGAAGGAAGGGGACAGAGAAAGAAGCAUGGGGCAUUGGGGUUACCUGAUGGCAGAGUUGCGUUGUGUGAGGUCACGCCGCUUGGCCCCAGAGCAUGUCCCUAUGACCUCCCCACUCCCGUUCUUCAUGCCGGAGCGGCCAGGCUGGUGUCAGAGGUCCGUGGCCGGGAUCUGUGUGCCGUGCGCCUUGCCUGUGGUGUGACCCAUGAGAACCAGGUGUGAUGGGCGAAUGGCAUGUUUGGUGCCUCUCAGGGGACUUGGCCUCCUGCGACCAGAUGAAGGAGGAGCGCCUUGAUGCAUAUGUGUCCUCGCGUUAGUGCUCAUGCGCGCUGAGCUUUGAGCUGGCGUCUACCUUCCUGUUACAGUGUUUUACUCCAGGAUUUGGUUCAGAGUCAAGGCACUCGUGAAAAUAGCUGUCAACCUGUCCUUUGAAAGUUCGUUGAAAUCACCCAAUAAAGUGCAGUAUAUGUGGUUUUUAUAUACAUUUA